CCCUUAGAUGUUCUGGGCAGCACGCGCGCUACAAUGGUCUUCGCAAACGGAUGCAUUCUCGAAGGAGAAUGCCAAUCUUGGAAUCUAUGCCUUGGUCGGGACAGUUGCUUGCAAUUUUUCGACUCGAACCAGGAAUUCCUUGUAAUCGUGAUUCAUCACAUCACGAUGAAUACGUCCCUGCCCUUUGUACACACAGCCCGUCGCUCCUACCGAUCGAAGAGUUAGGUGAAUUGUUUUGAUCGAUAAGAUUUGACUAUGGUCAACUCUCGUUGUGAAAUUCUGUGAAUCUGACUGUUUAGAGGAAGGAAAAGUCGUAACA
rnacentral:rRNA from 1 species